rnacentral:lncRNA from 1 species
UGAUGUCUAAGUUUGUGGAGAACUUGUUGCGUCUAACAAGAAUUGAGAAAGUUGUGAGUAGGGGUGUCAAAGGGCUGGGUUGGGCCUAAGUCUAAAGCAAGCCCAACGUCUGAACCUUAGGCCUGAGCCUGGCCUGGCAUGCAGUUGUGAGGCCCAAGCUCGUCCCAACUUAGGAUAUGCUUUCAGGCUGGUGGGCUCGGAACCACCCUAUUUAAUUUUAACCAUAUUUUCAGCCCAGGACUGGCCCAAAAAUUGUCC